UACGGAGGGUGCGAGCGUUAUCCGGAUUCACUGGGUUAAAGGGUGCGUAGGUGGGCAGGUAAGUCAGUGGUGAAAUCUCCGGGCUUAACCCGGAAACUGCCAUUGAUACUAUCAGUCUUGAAUACCGUGGAGGGUAAGCGGAAUAUGUCAUGUAGCGGUGAAAUGCUUAGAUAUGACAUAGAACACCAAUUGCGAAGGCAGCUUACUACCCGAAUAUUGACACUGAGGCACGAAAGCGUGGGGAUCAAACAGG
rnacentral:rRNA from 1 species